CUGAUGUGUGCUAAGGGAAAGGGAGUCUGUGGGAACGGAAUCCAGAAUCCGGGCAACCCUGCACCACUUGUCAUCUGUAUUAUAUACUUGUCCAGCAAAAGCAAUAGGAUAAUAAAGAAGUGGAUCAGCCAUGAAACAGCCCCCUGUCAGCAGAGCAGCCGUUGAUAUCUGAAUGAGCAACAGUGCACUAAAAUCUGCAGUACAAGAGUUGGACUGACCUGCCAGGCUGCACAUCUCCCAGUGGCACCACUGAAGGGCAAUGCCUUUUAGCUGCAUAGACAUGGAAAUCAGAUAUCUUUAACAUGUUUUAUAUCUAACUGUUCCUGUAAUGGGCCUAGGGUGCCAGACACUCUAGUGGGUGCGUGGGGACCCAGUCGGACACUGAAGGGAAGGCUGUGGCUUACCUGCCUGACAAUAAAGGAGGCUUAUACAACCUGCACUGCAUGGUGAUCUAGUACCAACUACAAGGCAAAUCAAAACAAAAAGAAAAUGAACUUUCUGCUUAAAAUAUACAGUAGAGAAAAAAACUUUAAGACAUAGCGCUCCACAUUAUUUAAAGUCACCAUAUUCAGAAAACCCCAGACAUUCCAUACUGAUCUGAUAUUUGUAGCCAGGGGUGUAACCUGGCCCCCCCAAAAAAAAAAUUUCUGGACCCCCUGUACACAUAAUGAAAAGCGACCCAUAACAGGAGCAAAAUUGUGUGAGUCACCUGCAUCCCCCCCACUGCACAUAAUUGCAGGUGACUACCAAGGGAGCAGAUCCCAGCCGGCUCCAACACCAACGUCUCCAUCCCACCGUGGCUAUGAAAUUUUGAUAGCAGCCAUUAAACAUGGUACCAGGGCAGUGCCAUAAGAUUCAA